AUGAAGACAGCUAUUCAUGCUUUAUUUAUUUUCCUCUGGCUGCAGAUGGACUGGGAGAGCCAAGGUGAGCAGGUGCAACAGCACCCUUCCUCCCUGAGUGUCCAGGAGGGAGCCAAUGCUCUCAUCAACUGCUCCUACACAGACAGUGCCGCCGUCUACUUCCCUUGGUAUAAGCAAGAGCCUGGGAAGCAUCCUCAGCUCAUCAUUGACAUCCGUUCAAAUAUGGAAAGAAAGCAGACCCAAAGACUCACCCUUUUAUUUGAUAAGAAAACCAAACACCUUUCCCUGCACAUCACAGCCACUCAGCCUGGAGACUCAGCUAUCUACUUCUGCACAACAAGUACACACUGGUCCCCAGGCACCUGCAGCCUGUCUUCAAACCUGCCUCCAGGGUUGGAGUGGCGCCCUUUUGCUAUGUCAGAAUUCCACAAGAGCAUUUGUCACACUGUUUGUGAAUAA